GUGGGGAAUAUUGGACAAUGGGCGAAAGCCUGAUCCAGCCAUGCCGCGUGUGUGAAGAAGGUCUUCGGAUUGUAAAGCACUUUAAGUUGGGAGGAAGGGCAGUAAGUUAAUACCUUGCUGUUUUGAUGUUACCGACAGAAUAAGCACCGGCUAACUUCGUGCCAGCAGCCGCGGUAAUACGAAGGGUGCAAGCGUUAAUCGGAAUUACUGGGCGUAAAGCGCGCGUAGGUGGUUUUGUAAGUUGGAGGUGAAAUCCCCGGGCUCAACCUGGGAACUGCCUCCAAAACUGCAUGACUAGAGUACGGUAGAGGGUAGUGGAAUUUCCUGUGUAGCGGUGAAAUGCGUAGAUAUAGGAAGGAACACCAGUGGCGAAGGCGACUACCUGGACUGAUACUGACACUGAGGUGCGAAAGCGUGGGGAGCAAACAGGAUUAGAAACCCUGGUAGUCC
rnacentral:rRNA from 1 species